GGUGGUAGUAGCAAAUAUUCAAAUGAGAACUUUGAAGACGGAAGUGGGGAAAGGUUCCGCGUGAACAGCAGUUGGACGCGGGUUAGUCGGUCCUAAGAGAUAGGAGAAAUCCGUUUCCAAGUGGGAUGUCCUCGGAUAUCCCCGCCUAUCGAAAGGGAAGCUAGUUAACAUUCUAGCACCAGAACGAUGAUAUUGAGUGGCAACACAAGCAAAACUGGAGACAGCUGCGGCGGCCCGGGGAAGAGUUCUCUUUUCUUUUUAACAGGUGCAUCAUCUCUGGAAUCGAAUUGAUCGGAGAUGGAGUUGAAGCCCUGGUAAAGGCGACCGGUCUUUGGUCGUUCCCGUGCGCUGUCGACGCUCCUUGAAAAUCCAGUGGCGUGACUUAUUCAUCUUCUGUCCGUACUCAUAACCGCAUCAGGUCUCCAAGGUUAGCAGCCUCUAGU
rnacentral:rRNA from 1 species